rnacentral:lncRNA from 1 species
CUAAUUGUGUCAGUAGCUGGAUAAUUGAACGUAUUAAAACUUAAGAAAAAUGAGCACAAGAUCAUCCACUACAAUACCACACCACUCCCAAAAAGGUGUUGCCUCAGCAGCAUCAGUGUGGCUAUGUCCAAGCAAUAGAUUUUUUGACUACUAAUUGUGUCAGUAGCUUGAUAAUUGAACGUAUUAAAACUUAAGAAAAAUGAGCACAAGAUCAUCCACUACAAUACCACACCACUCCCAAAAAGGUGUUGCCUCAGCAGCAUCAGUGUGGCUAUGUCCAAGCAAUAGAUUUUUUUUGACUACUAAUUGUGUCAGCACCCCAAAGCUUGGGAUAAUGCCAUAAAAAACGCAACGGUUCCGAUGGUUCCAAAGAGUCCACGCC